rnacentral:rRNA from 1 species
UACGUAGGGGUCGAGCGUUGUCCGGAGUUACUGGGCGUAAAGCGUGCGCAGGCGGCUCAUUGCGCCCGGCGUGAAAGCCCCCGGCUCAACCGGGGAGGGUCGUCGGGGACGGGUGAGCUUGAGGGUAUCAGGGGUUGGUGGAAUUCCCGGUGUAGUGGUGAAAUGCGUAGAGAUCGGGAGGAACACCCGUGGCGAAGGCGGCCCCCUGGUUGGAUACUGACGCUGAUACGCGAAAGCGUGGGGAGCAAACAGG